rnacentral:rRNA from 1 species
UACGGAGGAUGCGAGCGUUAUCCGGAUUUAUUGGGUUUAAAGGGUGCGUAGGCGGCUUUUUAAGUCAGCGGUGAAAUUUUGCAGCUUAACUGUAACAGUGCCGUUGAUACUGGGGAGCUAGGAUUUGGUUGCUGUGGGUGGAAUGUGUGGUGUAGCGGUGAAAUGCUUAGAGAUCGCACAGAAUAUCGAUUGCGAAGGCAGCUCACAAAGCCAAGAUUGACGCUGAGGCACGAAAGUGUGUGGAUCAAACAGGAUUA